rnacentral:rRNA from 1 species
CUUAAAUUGAAGAGUUUGAUCAUGGCUCAGAUUGAACGCUGGCGGCAGGCCUAACACAUGCAAGUCGAGCGGUAGCACAGAAGAGCUUGCUCUUUGGGUGACGAGCGGCGGACGGGUGAGUAAUGUCUGGGAAACUGCCUGAUGGAGGGGGAUAACUACUGGAAACGGUAGCUAAUACCGCAUAACCUCGCAAGAGCAAAGAGGGGGACCUUCGGGCCUCUCGCCAUCAGAUGUGCCCAGAUGGGAUUAGCUAGUAGGUGAGGUAAUGGCUCACCUAGGCGACGAUCCCUAGCUGGUCUGAGAGGAUGACCAGCCACACUGGAACUGAGACACGGUCCAGACUCCUACGGGAGGCAGCAGUGGGGAAUAUUGCACAAUGGGCGCAAGCCUGAUGCAGCCAUGCCGCGUGUGUGAAGAAGGCCUUCGGGUUGUAAAGCACUUUCAGCGAGGAGGAAGGCGGUAAGGUUAAUAACCUUAUCGAUUGACGUUACUCGCAGAAGAAGCACCGGCUAACUCCGUGCCAGCAGCCGCGGUAAUACGGAGGGUGCAAGCGUUAAUCGGAAUGACUGGGCGUAAAGCGCACGCAGGCGGUCUGUUAAGUUGGAUGUGAAAUCCCCGGGCUUAACCUGGGAACUGCAUUCAAAACUGACAGGCUAGAGUCUUGUAGAGGGGGGUAGAAUUCCAGGUGUAGCGGUGAAAUGCGUAGAGAUCUGGAGGAAUACCGGUGGCGAAGGCGGCCCCCUGGACAAAGACUGACGCUCAGGUGCGAAAGCGUGGGGAGCAAACAGGAUUAGAUACCCUGGUAGUCCACGCUGUAAACGAUGUCGAUUUGGAGGUUGUGCCCUUGAGGCGUGGCUUCCGGAGCUAACGCGUUAAAUCGACCGCCUGGGGAGUACGGCCGCAAGGUUAAAACUCAAAUGAAUUGACGGGGGCCCGCACAAGCGGUGGAGCAUGUGGUUUAAUUCGAUGCAACGCGAAGAACCUUACCUACUCUUGACAUCCAGAGAAUUAGCUAGAGAUAGCUGAGUGCCUUCGGGAACUCUGAGACAGGUGCUGCAUGGCUGUCGUCAGCUCGUGUUGUGAAAUGUUGGGUUAAGUCCCGCAACGAGCGCAACCCUUAUCCUUUGUUGCCAGCGAUUCGGUCGGGAACUCAAAGGAGACUGCCGGUGAUAAACCGGAGGAAGGUGGGGAUGACGUCAAGUCAUCAUGGCCCUUACGAGUAGGGCUACACACGUGCUACAAUGGCGUAUACAAAGAGAAGCGACCUCGCGAGAGCAAGCGGACCUCAUAAAGUACGUCGUAGUCCGGAUUGGAGUCUGCAACUCGACUCCAUGAAGUCGGAAUCGCUAGUAAUCGUAGAUCAGAAUGCUACGGUGAAUACGUUCCCGGGCCUUGUACACACCGCCCGUCACACCAUGGGAGUGGGUUGCAAAAGAAGUAGGUAGCUUAACCUUCGGGAGGGCGCUUACCACUUUGUGAUUCAUGACUGGGGUGAAGUCGUAACAAGGUAACCGUAGGGGAACCUGCGGUUGGAUCACCUCCUUACC